CGAACUAACGGCUGGCGGCGCGUCUUAACAUGCAAGUCGGGCGGCAGCACCUCGGGUGGCGAGCGGCGAACGGGUGAGUAACACGUAGGUAAUUUGCCCACGGAUGGGGGACAACCUCUCGAAAGAGAGGCUAAUACCGCAUAACACCAUUUGGUCUACGGACCGUUUGGUCAAAGCAGCAAUGCGUCUGUGGAGAAGGCCUCGCGUCCGAUUAGGUAGUUGGUGAGGUAACGGCUCACCAAGCCAGCGAUCGGUAGCCGGCCUGAGAGGGUGAACGGCCACACUGGAACUGGGACACGGUCCAGACUCCUACGGGAGGCAGCAGUUAAGAAUCUUGCGCAAUGGAGGCAACUCUGACGCAGCGACGCCGCGUGUGCGAUGAAGGCCCUCGGGUUGUAAAGCACAACAAACAGGGAAGAAGAAAGUGACGGUACCUGUCUGAAGCACCGGCUAACUACGUG
rnacentral:rRNA from 1 species